GACGAACGCUGGCGGCGUGCCUAAUACAUGCCAGUUGAGCGAUGAAGCUUGGUGCUUGCACCAAUUUGAAGAGCAGCGAACGGGUGAGUAACGCGUGGGGAAUCCGCCUUUGAGCGGGGGGCAACAUUUGGAAACGAAUGCUAAUACCGCAUAACAACUUUAAACAUAAGUUUUAAGUUUGAAAGAUGCAAUUGCAUCACUCAAAGAUGAUCCCGCGUUGUAUUAGCUAGUUGGUGAGGUAAAGGCUCACCAAGGCGAGGAUACAUAGCCGACCUGAGAGGGUGAUCGGCCACAUUGGGACUGAGACACGGCCCAAACUCCUACGGGAGGCAGCAGUAGGGAAUCUUCGGCAAUGGACGAAAGUCUGACCGAGCAACGCCGCGUGAGUGAAGAAGGUUGUCGGAUCGUAAAACUCUGUUGGUAGAGAAGAACGUUGGUGAGAGUGGAAAGCUCAUCAAGUGACGGGAACUACCCAGAAAGGGACGGCUAACUACGUG
rnacentral:rRNA from 1 species